UUAAGCGACUAAGCGUACACGGUGGAUGCCCUGGCAGUCAGAGGCGAUGAAGGACGUGCUAAUCUGCGAUAAGCGUCGGUAAGGUGAUAUGAACCGUUAUAACCGGCGAUUUCCGAAUGGGGAAACCCAGUGUGAUUCGUCACACUAUCAUUAACUGAAUCCAUAGGUUAAUGAGGCGAACCGGGGGAACUGAAACAUCUAAGUACCCCGAGGAAAAGAAAUCAACCGAGAUUCCCCCAGUAGCGGCGAGCGAACGGGGAGCAGCCCAGAGCCUGAAUCAGUGUGUGUGUUAGUGGAAGCGUCUGGAAAGGCGUGCGAUACAGGGUGACAGCCCCGUACACAAAAAUGCACAUACUGUGAGCUCGAUGAGUAGGGCGGGACACGUGGUAUCCUGUCUGAAUAUGGGGGGACCAUCCUCCAAGGCUAAAUACUCCUGACUGACCGAUAGUGAACCAGUACCGUGAGGGAAAGGCGAAAAGAACCCCGGCGAGGGGAGUGAAAAAGAACCUGAAACCGUGUACGUACAAGCAGUGGGAGCACAGAGCAAUCUGUGUGACUGCGUACCUUUUGUAUAAUGGGUCAGCGACUUAUAUUCUGUAGCAAGGUUAACCGAAUAGGGGAGCCGAAGGGAAACCGAGUCUUAACUGGGCGUUAAGUUGCAGGGUAUAGACCCGAAACCCGGUGAUCUAGCCAUGGGCAGGUUGAAGGUUGGGUAACACUAACUGGAGGACCGAACCGACUAAUGUUGAAAAAUUAGCGGAUGACUUGUGGCUGGGGGUGAAAGGCCAAUCAAACCGGGAGAUAGCUGGUUCUCCCCGAAAGCUAUUUAGGUAGCGCCUCGUGAAUUCAUCUCCGGGGGUAGAGCACUGUUUCGGCAAGGGGGUCAUCCCGACUUACCAACCCGAUGCAAACUGCGAAUACCGGAGAAUGUUAUCACGGGAGACACACGGCGGGUGCUAACGUCCGUCGUGAAGAGGGAAACAACCCAGACCGCCAGCUAAGGUCCCAAAGUCAUGGUUAAGUGGGAAACGAUGUGGGAAGGCCCAGACAGCCAGGAUGUUGGCUUAGAAGCAGCCAUCAUUUAAAGAAAGCGUAAUAGCUCACUGGUCGAGUCGGCCUGCGCGGAAGAUGUAACGGGGCUAAACCAUGCACCGAAGCUGCGGCAGCGACGCUUAUGCGUUGUUGGGUAGGGGAGCGUUCUGUAAGCCUGCGAAGGUGUGCUGUGAGGCAUGCUGGAGGUAUCAGAAGUGCGAAUGCUGACAUAAGUAACGAUAAAGCGGGUGAAAAGCCCGCUCGCCGGAAGACCAAGGGUUCCUGUCCAACGUUAAUCGGGGCAGGGUGAGUCGACUCCUAAGGCGAGGCCGAAAGGCGUAGUCGAUGGGAAACAGGUUAAUAUUCCUGUACUUGGUGUUACUGCGAAGGGGGGACGGAGAAGGCUAUGUUGGCCGGGCGACGGUUGUCCCGGUUUAAGCGUGUAGGCUGGUUUUCCAGGCAAAUCCGGAAAAUCAAGGCUGAGGCGUGAUGACGAGGCACUACGGUGCUGAAGCAACAAAUGCCCUGCUUCCAGGAAAAGCCUCUAAGCAUCAGGUAACAUCAAAUCGUACCCCAAACCGACACAGGUGGUCAGGUAGAGAAUACCAAGGCGCUUGAGAGAACUCGGGUGAAGGAACUAGGCAAAAUGGUGCCGUAACUUCGGGAGAAGGCACGCUGAUAUGUAGGUGAAGUCCCUCGCGGAUGGAGCUGAAAUCAGUCGAAGAUACCAGCUGGCUGCAACUGUUUAUUAAAAACACAGCACUGUGCAAACACGAAAGUGGACGUAUACGGUGUGACGCCUGCCCGGUGCCGGAAGGUUAAUUGAUGGGGUUAGCGCAAGCGAAGCUCUUGAUCGAAGCCCCGGUAAACGGCGGCCGUAACUAUAACGGUCCUAAGGUAGCGAAAUUCCUUGUCGGGUAAGUUCCGACCUGCACGAAUGGCGUAAUGAUGGCCAGGCUGUCUCCACCCGAGACUCAGUGAAAUUGAACUCGCUGUGAAGAUGCAGUGUACCCGCGGCAAGACGGAAAGACCCCGUGAACCUUUACUAUAGCUUGACACUGAACAUUGAGCCUUGAUGUGUAGGAUAGGUGGGAGGCUUUGAAGUGUGGACGCCAGUCUGCAUGGAGCCGACCUUGAAAUACCACCCUUUAAUGUUUGAUGUUCUAACGUUGACCCGUAAUCCGGGUUGCGGACAGUGUCUGGUGGGUAGUUUGACUGGGGCGGUCUCCUCCUAAAGAGUAACGGAGGAGCACGAAGGUUGGCUAAUCCUGGUCGGACAUCAGGAGGUUAGUGCAAUGGCAUAAGCCAGCUUGACUGCGAGCGUGACGGCGCGAGCAGGUGCGAAAGCAGGUCAUAGUGAUCCGGUGGUUCUGAAUGGAAGGGCCAUCGCUCAACGGAUAAAAGGUACUCCGGGGAUAACAGGCUGAUACCGCCCAAGAGUUCAUAUCGACGGCGGUGUUUGGCACCUCGAUGUCGGCUCAUCACAUCCUGGGGCUGAAGUAGGUCCCAAGGGUAUGGCUGUUCGCCAUUUAAAGUGGUACGCGAGCUGGGUUUAGAACGUCGUGAGACAGUUCGGUCCCUAUCUGCCGUGGGCGCUGGAGAAUUGAGGGGGGCUGCUCCUAGUACGAGAGGACCGGAGUGGACGCAUCACUGGUGUUCGGGUUGUCAUGCCAAUGGCACUGCCCGGUAGCUAAAUGCGGAAGAGAUAAGUGCUGAAAGCAUCUAAGCACGAAACUUGCCCCGAGAUGAGUUCUCCCUGACUCCUUGAGAGUCCUGAAGGAACGUUGAAGACGACGACGUUGAUAGGCCGGGUGUGUAAGCGCAGCGAUGCGUUGAGCUAACCGGUACUAAUGAACCGUGAGGCUUAACCUU
rnacentral:rRNA from 1 species